GACGAACGCUGGCGGCGUGCUUAACACAUGCAAGUCGAACGCUGAAGCACUAGCUUGCUGGUGUGGAUGAGUGGCGAACGGGUGAGUAAUACGUGAGUAACCUGCCCUUGACUCUGGGAUAAGCCCGGGAAACUGGGUCUAAUACUGGAUGCUACAUGUCACUGCAUGGUGGUGUGUGGAAAGGGUUUACUGGUUUUGGAUGGGCUCACGGGCUACCAGCUUGUUGGGGGGGUAAGGGCUCCCCAAGGCGACGGGGGGUAGCCGGCCUGGGAGGGGGACCGGGCACAAUUGGACUGGGACACGGCCCAGACUCCCACGGGGGGCAGGAAGGGGGAAUAUUGCACAAUGGGCGAAAGGCCGAUGCAGCGACGGCGCGGGGGGGGUUACGGCCUUCGGGUUGUAAACCUCUUUCAGCAGGGAAGAAGCCACAAGUGACAGUACCUGCAGAAGAAGCGCCGGCUAACUACGUG
rnacentral:rRNA from 1 species